ACCUGGAUAGUUUAAUUAAAAUAUUGAUUUGUGGUGUCAGAGAUGUAAUAAGUUACUCCGGGUA
rnacentral:tRNA from 1 species